UAUUAUUGACACCUAAAUUUUACUUUUUAUUUAGGACUUCAUCGUAUACAAAAUUAGAAAUUAGUCACUAAAAGAAAACAAAAACAAAAACAACAAAAAAAAAAAGAAAAAGAAAACAUGGAAGAGGCCGGGCCGGAUCUCACCUUGGCCCCGCCCAUGCCGGCUUCCUCUUCACGCUGAAACCCGAGCAGAGAGAGGAGAGCAGAAGAGAGAGGAGGGAGUUCGAGGGAAGAACGGAGACCGCAGAGAAAAUAGAGACCGAGAGGGAAAAUAAGAAAAAACAGGAGAAAACCAGAGAGAGAGAGAGAGAAAAACCGAGGGAGGGGGCCAGGAUUCGAGGAGGGAGGCGCCGUCGUCAACGUCGCCCGACGCCGUCCGAGCCGCCGCCCUCCGAGCCCGAAGCCAUUCGAGCCGCCGCCGUCCGAGCCCCUGCACUCGACGCCGCUGCUGCCGAUGCCAGCAACCGCAGCACCCGCCGCAGCACCCGCCGCCGCUACUCCCGACGCCGGGCCAGCUGAGACCAGAGGGAGCGGGAGGACGAACUCGAAGGCUCUCAGAUCCGAAGAUCCGAGGCAGGGGGUCGGCCAAAGGCCCAGAUCUGAUCGUGCUUGAUCAGAUCUGGGAGUAGAUCGAGCUCCGCCGCAUCACCAGGCCGGCCGCCGCCGCCGCCGCCGCCGUUCAGUCAUCGACGACACUGCCAGGCCACACCUUUCCAGAACCGCCGCUGCUUACCGAGCCGCCGCCCUCCGACCUCGACUGCGGCAACGCCUGGGCCCGACGCCGUCGCUGCCCAUCCUCCCGUCGGAGCCGCGACGUCGCUGCGGCCACCGUCUCCGCCCUCGCCUGCCUCUUCACCCGAGCCGCGAAGCCGCUGCAGCCCGUGCCGUCGAACGCCGGCCACCGCCUCCCGUUCCCCGCGACGCUGCAGCAACCCGCGAGCUCGCUUGCUGCGCCUCCACCCUCAGCCCGUCCAUCUGCAACUCCCCUGCCGAGCCGCUCCGCCAAGAAACCCUAGGUUUCGGCCAAGAACCGGGUCGGGCGCGGAUCUCAAUCGGGUAAGGUUUUCCGUCCGCAUGGGCUUAUCACGGUGGGCCAUCUAAUUUUGGGCUUGGGCUGGUUUAGUAUGGGCUUGUGGGCCUGCUUUGUUUUAAAAAGAGAGGAGAGGGUAAUUCUUGGGCUGGGCCCAUGCUUCGGGCCCGCCGGGCCGAACCCGGAGACCGGACCCGGCCCAUGCCGACCGGGCUAAACCCGGGUGAGGUUGGACCGGACCGGACCCGAUUCGCCCAAAAAAUAAAAUAAAAAAUUAAUUUUUUUUUCGAAAAAAAUUUAAAAGAAUUUUAAAAAAAAUUUAAAAAAUUGAAAAAAUUUCGAAAAUCCAAAAAUGUAGGUUUUAAUUAGGCAUGGCCAUGUAUUGCCUUUAUAGUGUAAUUAGGCAUUUAUUUGCCUGUAUAUUAAUUAUAUUGUAUGAUUAAUUUACUUGUUUAAUUAUGUUUACAAUUGCUUAGUGGCAUGUGUUAAUUUUACUGCAAUUAUGAUCUUAAUAAUAAUUGUUACUUUAAUGAUUGCGCAUCUGCAUGAUCAUCUCAUAUAUUAGUGGAUAUGUAUAAAUUCUAUUUAAAAUGAACAAGAUUAGGUACCGAAAAUGCAUUAAUUGAUUAAUUAAUGUAAUCAAGUCCUCGAUCAUAUUCUCUAGUUGUGUAGGAAGUGAGAUAUAUUUCCAUACAUCACUUGGAUCCAAGUUAGUGACGACUCCUUAUUGUAAAAAUCUUUAAAAAUACUUCAAUGUCACGCGAUAUAUGGACUUGGGAAAUUCCGUGCCUAAUCAUGACUAUAAGUCCGUCCUUUAGGCAAUACCUCCCCCCGAGGGUAGGUCGCGACACUUAUUUUAGGGAUCAACCUCGUGGCCGAAUGUUUUUCGGUACAUCAGUUUCAGCAAUGUGGAAUGUUGGAAGCCUAGUCUACCGAAAAAAUACCAUUCAAACGGGAAUAGGCAAGAUCGAUAUUGGAGAAAAUGUCAUUGGAUUCAAUGAAAUGAGAGUUGGCUCAGCUAGCUAUGUGUUUCAAGUGAUUCUUGGUGCCUGUGGCUCAAACUCUGUAUGUGCAAGGUAGGUGUGUACUUUGUGCAGCUACAGCAUCUCUUUGUUUAUAGAAGAAGCAUUAGGACGGGAAUGCUUGGCUAUUGGUCAAGACAACUUCCAAAAACAUCUAAAUCAUGGAAUUCAAGGAAUCUCGAUGCAAUUGGAAGCACCCGGAGCACACAAAACAGAUGCAGCCCUGCAAUCGUCGAGUGGUAAAGCUUCCAUCCAAAAGUUAAACUUUUGCUAGACUGGGUAGCAUCCCGUCUAAACGAGUCCACUAUUUAUUCAAUUACUGAAACUCGACUAUUGACAUAAAAAUUAGCUGCUUUAUUAAUUCCUAUUACAUUAGAAAACAAAUACUUCUCUAUGAGCUUAAGGGGGUACAAAAUGACGUUGACACGUGAUGUCUCCUAGCUUUAUAGCUCGAACGUCAGCACAAUAAAAAGAUAUGUAAAUGAUAGCACAACAUUACAACAUGCCCUGGUCAAGAGAUGUGUUGAAUCAUCAUCCAUGUUACUUUCGAGCGUGACUUUUCAUUAUUACUUGAGGCAAUCCACACCCGCACCUGCCCAUGGGUUGGGUAAUUGGGGAAAUGCGAGUCUAUCACUCGGAUAAUAUAAGCUCUGAACUUCUGCCCAAGAUGGGAAUGUAACACUUGGUUUCCUAGUGCGAUAAUAGAUUCUUGCUCCGACUGUGUUGCUUAAAUGACAUAGAUCACAUUAAGGAAACCCAAUCUGACUAUCAUUAACUCAUAUCUAUUUAUAAUUGACUUGACUCAUGACGACAACAAAGGUGAAUAACACCUUCAUCACCUUUUUUACUAGAUAGAGCCGAAUGAUGCCAACGGUCCAAUGGGCUUUCCACGGUGAUAUCCAAUUGGACCUUUUGGCCUAAUUCUAGCCUGUUAAACCUAAUUUCUCGGCCCAUCAAGAUAAUCAAGAGAAAGGAAGAAGGCCAAUGCAAGCUCGGCUUCGCACUCGAGACCGGCACCCUCGCCACCCGGCAGCCUUCUAUCUUGUCUCUUCCCCAACCGUCACUUUCUUAUUUUGUUUUCUUUCAUUUUUAUUUGGAAAAUGAUUGACGAACGGUGCUGUCUUUUUAUGGAGAUUGACGGUCUACCUCUCGACCACAAAAGCAUUUCCUGGGAAUAGGAUUACUUUUUCAUCCGAUUUCCACUGAAGUGGCGUUCUUUAAAAUAACGUUUUAAGGAUUAUUUACCCAAUAUUAGGCAUAAUUAAACGAAAAGAAAAGAAAAAUUACUAGAUUAUAGCCAAUCAUCUUGUGAGUCAAAAAAUAUAUUAUUUUUGCUUAAUAAUUGUUAGAUUAGAAUACUCGAGGUUUAUCUCAUUAUUCUUAAAUCAUUAUAAUGGGGAAAAUUGUCAAAAGUUUUCUCAAUUUAUUACACUUUUGCUAAUUUAGACAUUUCAGUUUUGCAAACUAAAUUUUGAACAUUUUAAUAUUUUAUCAAUUGAAUUUAUUCAGUCAAUUUUAAUUAAGAAUCACUAAUGCGGAUGCCUUUCGUUAUACGUGGCAAGUCCAAUUCUGACGUGAAUAAUUUUCAAUAAUAUUUUAAUAUUAUUUUCACAUUUUUUAAUACUUUUUUGAUUUUUUUUUUCCCCUUUAUUCUUCUUCCUUUUAUCGGUGAUCGUCCACAAAUGAUGGCUAGGUGGGCUGGCCUCGCUUGGUCAAUGGUUGCCGUCACUCAUGAGUAGUUAAGCGGCUUCGCCAGGUGUCACCUUGCCUAGGUGAUGCGCUGGCCUUGCUUAGGCUUGAUUUGGCAAGGCCACCUUGGCCUGAGUGAGGGCCAACUUUGCCGAGAAAAUAUUGGGUGGGUUUAACCCAACACGUAGGCGGUGGGUUAAACCAUUCAGCGGUCGACACGUGGCGCCACGUAAGCGAGGGCGUCAGGGUUCAAAAUUCGCGCGGGCCGCGUGGGGCCCACCACUCUGACGCUCCCUGCUCUGCGACGCCUGCGCCCCCUGUCGAAUCGUCCUCUCUCUCCUCUCUCUCUCUCCCCCUUCUCCGUUCCGUUCCGUUGCGUGUAGGGGAGAACAAAAAAGUCGCAUCUCUCUCUCCAUUCUCGCGCACAGCUGCUUCUCUUCCCCUCCUCUGCUCUCUCUCUCCAUUCUCGCCGACGAGCCCUCUCUCUCCAUUCUCGACUCCGACGCCCCCUCAAGCCGGUUGCCUCCGUCGCCCCCGACUCCGACGCCGUCGACGCCGCCUCCGCCUCCGCCCCCGACGCCCUCUCGCGACGCCGACGCUCCUCAAGGCGGUUGCCUCCGACGCCGCCUCCGCCUCCGCCUCCGCCCCGACGCCCUCUCGCGACUCCGUUGCCCCCGACUUCGACGCCGACGCCCACCUCCGCCUCCGCCUCCGCCUCGGCCGACGCCCUUUCCACCUCCGCCGAAACCUCGACCGAUCGUUCGGCUACGGACUCUGCUCAUAUCUCAUAGCGUCCUCGUCAGGUCGAUGUUUGCCGCACCGCCGUUCACCAGAUGAGCGGUCACCAGGUCUCUCUCCGUCCCCCCCGUCCCGCUAAUCUAGCUCCUUUACGUCUCUUCUCGUUUUUUUGGUCCGUGUCUAUCCGUGUCUUUAUCUCCAGCCGAUGGCGUUGGAGGAGAGAUUCUAGUUUCUCUGGCUUUGCUUUAGUGUUCCUUGAUUCUGUUGGGGACGCCCGUUUUCGAGAACGGGUUGCCUUUGUAAGUGAACCGUAGUUGAGAAGUUUAAACUAGUUGAACUUGAAGAUUUGUAGCGGAGUUCUGAAUUUGGCCAUCGUGUGUUCGAUUAGAAAUAGGUUAUUGACCACGAUGAUGGGAUGCCUCGAGUAAGGAUAAAAUGUAACGUGGCACCUUUUUGGAUCAUUGGUAACUUGAUACUCUAAACGUCUUUCGGUUGUAAAUCCAUCUAUACCGUU
rnacentral:lncRNA from 1 species